rnacentral:rRNA from 1 species
CUGCAGCCCGAGUGGUGAUCGAUUUUAUUGAGCCUAAAGCGUCCGUAGCCGGACUAGUAAACCCUUGGGUAAAUUGUGCAGCUUAACUGUCCAAAUUCCGAGGGGACUGCUAGUCUUGGGACCGGGAGAGGUCAGAGGUACUCAAGGGGUAGGGGCUAAAUCCUGUAAUCCUUUGGGGACCACCAGUGGCGAAGGCGUCUGACUAGAACGGAUCCGACGGUAAGGGACGAAACCCUGGGGCGCGAUCCGGAUUAGAUACCCGAGUAGUCC